rnacentral:misc_RNA from 1 species
GAAAUGCGAUAAGUAGUGUGAAUUGCAGAAUUCAGUGAAUCAUCGAAUCUUUGAACGCACAUUGCGCCCCUUGGUAUUCCAUGGGGCAUGCCUGUUCGAGCGUCAUUUGUACCCUCAAGCUCUGCUUGGUGUUGGGUGUUUGUCCCCGUCUGCGCGCGUGGACUCGCCCCAAAGUGAUUGGCAGCCGGCGUACUGGUCCCGGAGCGCAGCACAUGUCGCGCAAACGAGUGCCUUGGUACGGCGGCGUCCAUAAGCCCCUCUCUCACGCUCUUGACCUCGGAUCAGGUAGGGAUACCCGCUGAACUUAAGC